GUUCAAUUACCAUUAGGCAGCAACUAACUGACUAAGGCCAAACAAAACCACAAAAAGAAGCACUUCACUUGCAUAAAUUCAGUAAUAACAACUCAAAAGUUAAGAGCGAGUGGCCAAUUGGGAUUGGCCAAGACCUAGCAGACAAGCAUAGCACCACAAGGAACUAGGAAAAGAACUGGAAAACUGAAAAUCAGAACUGAAAAAGGUGGUUAACUGAACCAAUCAGAUCAGUUUCAGUUGUUAUUGUUGAUUUUUUUUCUAGUUUUUGGUUCAAUCCUCGUUUUAGUGUUGUAAAGUUCAUUGGUCAAAAUACAGGACAUGUUAUACAAUAGUAGAUGCUAGAUUAGAGGCAGGAGUGCAUGUGAUUCUUUAAGUUUGGCUUAGGUUAACUGACAGAAAUAGUCAUGCAAGAACAUUGGGGUUACUUAAAAAUGUUGCACAUAAUCAAAAACUUUUAAUGCAAAUGUUAU
rnacentral:misc_RNA from 1 species